UACAGAGGGUGCAAGCGUUAUCCGGAUUUACUGGGUUUAAAGGGUGCGCAGGCGGAUAUGUAAGUCAGUGGUGAAAUCUCCGGGCUUAACCCGGAAACUGCCGUUGAUACUAUAUAUCUUGAAUGCUGUGGAGGUAAGCAGAAUAUGUCAUGUAGCGGUGAAAUGCUUAGAGAUGACAUAGAAUACCUAUUGCGAAGGCAGCUUACUACGCAGAUAUUGACGCUCAUGCACGAAAGCGUGGGGAUCAAACAGG
rnacentral:rRNA from 1 species